rnacentral:pre_miRNA from 1 species
UCUUAUGGAAGAGCAAAGAAAGUGGUUUCUUGAGAUGGAAACCACUCCUGGUGAAGAUGCUGUGGC